GACGAGCGCUGGCGGCGUGCUUAACACAUGCAAGUCGAACGGAAAGGCCUGCUUUCCCUUGUGGAUUGCGGGUACUCGAGUGGCGAACGGGUGAGUAACACGUGAGUGAUCUGCCCCCAACUUGGGUAUAAGCCUGGGAAACUGGGUCUAAUUCCCGAUAGGACUGCAGGGUGGUGCCUGUGGUGGAAAACGAUUUUCUAGUGGUUGGGGAUGAGCUCGCGGCCUAUCAGCUUGUUGGUGGGGUAAUGGCCUACCAAGGCGGCGACGGGUAGCCGGCCUGAGAGGGUGGACGGCCACAUUGGGACUGAGAUACGGCCCAGACUCCUACGGGAGGCAGCAGUGGGGAAUAUUGCACAAUGGGCGGAAGCCUGAUGCAGCGACGCCGCGUGGGGGAUGACGGCCUUCGGGUGGUAAACUCCUUUCGACCGCGAGGAAGCCACCUGGUUGGAAGGGUGGUGACGGUAGUGGUAGAAGAAGCACCGGCUAACUACGUG
rnacentral:rRNA from 1 species